CGUCCGGUCCGCGCUCCCCCGUUGUCAGGGCGGGGCGCGGGGCGCCGGGGCAGACGUCGGUGAAGCCCGCAGGCAGCGCCUCGCUGGCCAUGGGAGCUGUAGGCCCAGUGAUGUCCAGCGGCCGCUCAGGGUUAUCGGGGUCUGGCUGACUGCAGCUGGGGCCCCGAAUCGCUCCCUAAAGUGCCGCCCUAUUCCCUGCCCGCUGAAUCCUCCCCGGCGACACGUUCCCCUGUGAGCGCCUGACCUGACGGCCAUUCUCUGCGGGUUGCCUGGGUGCUGGGGAGGGGCCUGGUGCUGGAAACGCCCAGCGACUGCAUAGGCAUGUGUAGCGCAGCUCGUGUGCACCUGUGUUUGCAGGAACAGGGCCAAAUCCCUCCUGGGCCUGGUUGUGUAAAGGACAGAUUUCUGCCUUUAUAAAGCAGCGCUCUUUGGCAUCAGUGAACAUGAAAUCUGCAGCAUAAACAAGUUUUCCAGUCACUGAAUUUGUGCAUUUUGCUUCAAACGGCACCAAGGCAAGAAGUUUGCAGAGGAAUCAUCCAGGAGCCCUCACCGAACGAGAAUAUGCAGAAGUGGAUGUGAGCAGCCUGGACAUCCUUCUAAGGAGACCUCAACAGUCCUCAGGUUUCUGCCUUCUGCCUAACUGGCUGUGAGUAAGCAUAGCAAGAGAAAAGAAGUCACAGGCCAGAGUCUACUGCCCUCGUGCAAUGGAAAGAGAGCAAGAGCGAUGAGUCUGCAAGCGUUGUUGAUGCGACGCAGAAGGCGUCCAUCUGGGAGCGGAACCGCCACCACUCUCAAUGAGAUAAGUGUCUUCUUUGGUGAUCGCUCUGCUCAAGGCCCAUCUUGCUCCCGUUUGCAGAGGAAUCGUCCAGGAGCCCCAGCCGGAUGAGAAUGUGAGAAGUGGACCUCAGCAGCCUGGACAUCCUUCUAAGGAAAUAAGAAUAGUCCUCAGGUUUCUGCCUUCUGCAUAACUGGCUUACCAAGCAAAAAGACGUCACAUGUCAGUCUACUGCCCUUAUGAGUGAGAGUGACGAGACUGCGAGCGUUGUUGGUGCCAGGCAGGAGCCGUCCAUCUGGGAGCAGAACAGCUGCUACUAUCACUGAGAUAAGUAUCUGUUUUGCUGAGGGUUCUGCUCACGGCCCACCUGGCUACAGGUAGAGACACCCCGUUAGGUGGAGUGGGUUUGUAAGAAAAGGUUCCUGACUAGCUGUGGUUUUGAGGGAGACACGGUCCCCAUUUUCAGGGACUGAUUUCUCUGGCCAGGAUCGGUGUGUCCUCGGCAGGAGAAGGUUAGAUCCAUGAGGGAUGACUCCAGGUGGUGAGUUGCUUGCCUUCCUCCUCUGUUUCUCUCUCUGUCUUCUCUACUCUACUCUACUGUGUUGGCCAACACACACACUCUCUCUCGGCUGUCUCCCUUCAUAGGGCACGGGCAGGAGUGCUAUGUGUGCUUCCCCUCAGGCUAGGUCUCGGGAGCUAUGAACAAGUAGGAGGGGACGAAAAUCAUGCAUCGUAGUGGGCGCUAGAGUGGAGGGGUGACUGUGGAUGUUGACUGUCUCUCUUCAAGUGGGUCUGAUGUAGAUAGGCAGGGAUGAGGGCAAGAUUACCUGCACCAAUUGAAUUUUGUGUAGUGAUGGCUCUUGCUUUGCUCAUUUCCUGCGCUUGCAGAGGAAUUGUCCAGGAGCAGCAGCUGAAGGAGAAAGUGGCAGACGCGGACCUGAGGAGCCUGGACAUCCUUCUAAGCAGACAUGAAUGGUCCUCAGAUUUCUGCCUCCCGCACAACUGGCUGUGAGUAAGCGGUCAGUGCUUGGAAUCCCUCAUCUGUACUGGCUCCGGUUUUGUUCAGAGGCUCUGAAUUUCUUCAUUGGACACGGUGCUCUGUGGGAUUCAGAUGAGGCAAAGGCACAAGUCUCCUGUGCAGAUGCUGGGUUUAGUACCAAGUGCAGAGUCAGAGUCCACUCCGCACAUGCCAUGGAAAGGGAGCGAGAGCUGGGAGAUUCUAAGCAUUGUUGAUGCCAGGGAAGAGCCAUCCAGCUGGGAGUGGAGCAAGGACCACUGUCAGUGAGAUAAGUGUCUUGUUAGGUGAAGGCUCUGCUGUGGUUACGAGGUUGACAAGGUCCCUAUUUUUAGGGGCUGCUCAGUCCUCUGGCCAGUACCAGUGUGUCCUCUGCAGCAGAAGGUUGGAUCCAGGAGGAUGACUCCAGCUGCACUUCCAGAGGAAUUGUCCAGGAGCUCGAGCCGGAGGAGAAACUGGCAGAGGUGGAUCUGAGCAGCUUGGACAUGGUUCUAACCAGACAGGAACAAUCCUCAGCUUUCUGCCUUCUGAACAACUGGCUGUGAGUAAGAGUACCAAGGAAAAAUAAGUCACAUGUCAGAGUCUACUGCCCUCAUGCAAUGGAAAGUGAGUGAGAGCAGCGAGCCUGUGAGCAUUGUUCAUGCCAGGCAAGAGCUGUUCAUUUGGGAGCCAAGCAGAUGCCACUGUCAGUGAGAUAAGUGUCUGUUUUGCUGAGGGUUCUGUUAACAGCCCAUCUGACUCCAGCAGUGUGUCCUCCGCAGGAGAAGGUUGGAUCCAGGAGGAUGACUCCAGAUGGUGAGUUACUUGCCUUUCUCCUGUGUUUCUCUCUCUUCUCUAGUGUGUUGGCCAACACUCUCUUUCUGUCUCUGUCCUUGCCUCUCCUUGUGCCGUCUCCCUUCAUAGAACAGGGGCAGGAGUGCUAGGUGUGCAUCCCCACAGGCUUGGUCUCGGGAGCUAUGAACAAGUAGGAGGGGAUGAAAAUCAUGCAGGAUAGUGGGCGCCAGAGUGAGGCAGUGUCUGUGGAUGUUGACUCAGACUCUGUUCAUUGAGUCCAGCGGAUAUAGAUGGAAUGGGAGAGGGAGGCAGGGAUGAGGACAUUCAUAGA